rnacentral:rRNA from 1 species
UACGUAGGGUGCAGGCGUUAAUCGGAAUUACUGGGCGUAAAGCGUGCGCAGGCGGUUUGUAGACAGAGUGUGAAAUCCCCGGGCUUAACCUGGGAACGGCGCUUGUGACUGCACGGCUAGAGUACGGCAGAGGGGGGUGGAAUUCCACGUGUAGCAGUGAAAUGCGUAGAUAUGUGGAGGAACACCGAUGGCGAAGGCAGCCCCUGGGCCAGUACUGACGCUCAUGCACGAAAGCGUGGGGAGC